AGGUAAGAUUUAUACCCAGCAUGGGAUAGGAAGCGAGAAGCAGGUCUGAGUAGCGGAGGACAAGGAGAACAACAGGCAACUACUCUACUCUCUGUAAACAAGCUACAGUUUGUCUUCGUUAGGAAAAUCUUGGCUGCCAAGCAUAAAGCAUACAUACUCAAAGAUGUUGUGCAGAAUCCACAUGAAGACCAAGCUGCACAUCUGCUACAUAUGUGCAGGGAGGUCUAGGUCCAGCCCGUGUAUGUUCUUUGGUUGGUGGUUCAGACUCUGAGGGCCCCAAGGGUCCAGACAUCCUGGACGAGCCUGCGGGAGGCUUCGAAGAGACGCCUGAAGGAAACCAUCAUCCCAGCCACUAGGAUUUCAGCCCUGACCAUCAUAGGUCUGCUAAACUUUGGCCAACCUCUGGCAAUAGAGCAUUAGAGAUGCCAGAUAAGACCAAGAUCAGCAGCUCAGGUCUCCACAGUGGAAUCCCCAAAUGUCCUUUGGCUAACGAAAACUAGCCAAUGGCCAUUGGCUUUUAAGUCACUUAUUUGUGGAGUGGCAUGUUAACAAAGCGAUAACCAGUACUAAAUACCUCUUUGGAAGGCAAUUUCUCUUUUGGCUCUGUAUAUGUUAGACAUUUGAAGCAUGUGAGUUGUUCAGAUUCUGGGCUAUAACUCAACAAUUUAGCGUCUCGUCCAUAAUUAUAUACAUAUCACUGGCAUGCCACGUGGAAGUCACAUUUAGAGAUCUAAGUUCUAAUACAAAAUAGCAUAAAAACUGGUUAAAAUUUUUUUUUUCACUUCAGAAUUUAUGGUCACAGCACACAUACCAAGAUCACCCUAAAGGAACAUUAUUACCAUAAUGUUUUACCAAAAAAAGAAAGAAAAAAAGAAAAAAAAAAAAAAGAAAAAUGAACUUCAAAGGAACUGCUCUUAUUUCCAUCCAGCGUAACAAAGGAAGUCAAUGGCAGAGACUAUCCUUUGAUGACUAAUUUCUCUGUUCAGAAAUGGCCUCCAGCUGCUAUCCUGCCCAAACCAGCAGUGACAGCAAACCUGAGCAGAUGCUCAGGGCAGGGAGGGAAGAGCUGGCUUUGCAGGACCGGGCACUGUGUAGGGAGAGGAACAUCUCAGUGUUGGUGGUGGCUAGCACCGAGAUCUCCAACACACUGCACUGUUUGCCACUAGAAGGUUGAACCUGAAACUUAGCAUGUGUAAAAUUCUCCUAAGAGGGAGGCCUGGCCUCCAGAGACAGCUAUUGUGUGAAGCCUGUUGGAGAUGACAUUGGCACUACCCAUGUGGAGGAGCCCACCCUGCCGUGUAGACUCAAAUCCAGACCUGCAGCAUGACUAGGCUGUUUAUGGUUAUUAAUUUUGUCACAUUUUUGUCAACAUGGUGGAAAGAAAUUUUUUUUUCAUUCUAUUUUUUUCCUGGCUUCUUGAUAUGGUUCUUCUCAAAUGAAAGAAAAUAAACUAAAUUAACAAG